AAAGAAAAAAGCCACAAAGAUAUACAACCAGCAGAGCUCAUUAUUUUCAGUGGAAGCUGAAGUUGCCAGUGCCAUUGAGGUUGGAAGAAAGAUCUUUUCUGGAACCUAUACCACGGAAGGUCAUGUGAACAGGGUCCUCACUAAGAACUCGACCAUGCUGGCACCGGAGUUUUGACCUCCAGCCUCUGGAAUGUGAGCAACCAAGGUCUAUUGUUUAAGCCACCCAGUAUAUGAUACUUUUGUUACAGUGACCCAAACCAACUGACUCCCCUCAUCCACCCAUCCUCCACCCCCAGGACCUGGCAUCCAUUAAUCUACUUUCUGAUUCUAUGGAUUUGCCUAUUUUGGACAAUUUCAUGUAAAUGGAAUCAUCGUAUGUGGAGUUUGUGGCUGGCUUCUUGUCAUGAUGUUUUUAAGUGCCAGCCAUGUUGUAGCAUGUAUCAGUCCUCCAUUUCUCCUAGUGGCUGAAUAAUAUUCCAUC